CACGUGGGCAAUCUGCCCUGCACUCUGGGACAAGCCCUGGAAACGGGGUCUAAUACCGGAUAUGACUGUCCAUCGCAUGGUGGAUGGUGUAAAGCUCCGGCGGUGCAGGAUGAGCCCGCGGCCUAUCAGCUUGUUGGUGAGGUAGUGGCUCACCAAGGCGACGACGGGUAGCCGGCCUGAGAGGGCGACCGGCCACACUGGGACUGAGACACGGCCCAGACUCCUACGGGAGGCAGCAGUGGGGAAUAUUGCACAAUGGGCGAAAGCCUGAUGCAGCGACGCCGCGUGAGGGAUGACGGCCUUCGGGUUGUAAACCUCUUUCAGCAGGGAAGAAGCGAAAGUGACGGUACCUGCAGAAGAAGCGCCGGCUAACUACGUGCCAGCAGCCGCGGUAAUACGUAGGGCGCAAGCGUUGUCCGGAAUUAUUGGGCGUAAAGAGCUCGUAGGCGGCUUGUCACGUCGGUUGUGAAAGCCCGGGGCUUAACCCCGGGUCUGCAGUCGAUACGGGCAGGCUAGAGUUCGGUAGGGGAGAUCGGAAUUCCUGGUGUAGCGGUGAAAUGCGCAGAUAUCAGGAGGAACACCGGUGGCGAAGGCGGAUCUCUGGGCCGAUACUGACGCUGAGGAGCGAAAGCGUGGGGAGCGAACACCCUGGGGAUUAGAUA
rnacentral:rRNA from 1 species